AACCUUAUGGACCUGCGGGCGUAUACCUGCGGAGGGAUCAUUAUUGAAUUUUAAUGAAGAGUCUGGUUGUAGCUGGUCCAUUUAAUUGGGCAUGUGCACACCUUUCUCUUUCAUCCAUACACACCUGUGAACCUGUGAGACAGAUGGGAAAUUUUUGCUUAUUUAUUUUUUGAAAUACAAAGAUAACUGAGUGAUUUGGACCCCUCUGUCUACUCAAUUCAAUAUAAACUCAAUUUAUUU
rnacentral:misc_RNA from 1 species